ensembl:lncRNA
UCAUAUACCUUGACUGCUUAAGGCUGGUUCACACGGCAGGAUAAUUAGGCCGAUUUUAGCCCAGAUUCACCCCUUCCGACAAUCUUAGGAUGCUCCGAUUAUCGUAAAAUAAUCUGAUCAAAUAUUCCUGCCGUGUGUGGUGUGUUAAGACUGCUCUCCUCUGCUCGGAAGGACGUCGGGACCGCUGGUCAGGGUAUAUUCUGGCAAACCGUUUGCCAAUCACGUUUCGCAAUCGGCAAAGCAGAUCAUAGCACACGCCGUUUACCAACACACGAUGUAUAACUCGCAAAGCAAAACGUUCCUGCAUGUUUUCCCAGCACAUCACUAUCAAUACACAUGGAAAGCAAGAGGCUCGAGACGUAAGAGGCGGGGCAAUCGUUUAAAAUUUUCAAAUUAAAAGUUUUAAACGUACGAACGUAAACAGAUUGCAAUGGGAAAUUGUUAUAAAUGUGGACAUCCACAAACAGUACAGUAUAUUGUUUUGAGUAUGUUGCAUAAGGGAGAGACGUCAAUUCUCUCGACAGUUAAUUCAUUAAUUAAGAUGGCUGGGAAUUGAUAAAGUUUUACUAAAAGUAUUAUUAGGAAACGGGUCAAGACAAUCAAGACUUAAAAUAUUAUUUAAAUUUCUAAAAAAGAAAAAACAGUAGUUAUGCAUAUAAUCUAGUAUUAUUUAUUUUAAUUUUUCCUCAUCUUUCUUACUGUCUCUUGUUCCAUACGCACUCCCACUCAGAUUAGUAGGUGGCGCUAAUGUACCUUUAUACGUUGGCUUGCCAAACCAUCAUAAAACACCAGAAGAAGAAACCCGCGCGAGUUUGAAUGCAUGCAGUAUCUUCCACUUAGCUGUUGCCAUGAGUUUAUCGACACAUGAAGACCUUAUAAUGACUAUGUAUGAAAAUGGACACACAGACACAGAAAUAUCAUAUCAUUUAUCUGAGCUAGGAAUGCAGAGGGGGAAUUCAGAGCGAAAUAUAAGAAAAUUCCGUUCUGAAAGAGGUCUUAAGAGAAAAUGCAUCUCCGACGAGGAAUUAGAGUUGGCGGUUUCACGAGCAGUGGUAGAGACUGGGCCAUAUUACGGGCGUAAAAUGAUGACGGGCUACCUUGCUGCACAAGGUGUUAAUGCAUCAGAGGUCAGAGUGGGACAGACAUUGGCACAAAUGCAUGAACCUUAUCACCGGGCUCGAUGCCAGGGAGCACGGAAUUUGAAUCCGGUCCCAUAUAAUGCAGAGUAUGUGGGUCACAAACUCCAUAUGGACCAAAAUGAAAAGCUUUGCAUGUUUGGUGUCACACAUGUUAUUGCGGUUGAUGGCUUCAGCAAGAAAAUUGUUGGCCAUUCCACUAUGCCAAUAAAGAAUAAUUUAACCAUUUAUGAAGAGGUGUACAAAAAAGCUGUCCUUUCCCAUGGGAUGUGGGACCAGGUCAGAGUGGACCAUGGCACAGAAUUUUACCUAACCCUCUUCAUGCAGGAAAUGUUGGCAGAAUACAGACAUAACCAGCAGAGACUACCUUACCUCCAGACAACAUCAACUAAGAACCACACUGUAGAGAGAAUGUGGCCUGAAGUAAAUAAGCGGGUUAAUUUCCCAAUCAAGAGUGCACUUAUCCAAAUGGUUGACCAGGAGUCUUUGGACAUGGAGGAUGGGUUGAUGAGGUACUGUGUGUCCAAUCUUACAUGCCAGAUCAGCCAGAUUGGAGUGCAGAGAUUUGUUCAUGCAUGGAACAGUCAUAAUAUUACAGGUAUGCUGGACAGUGUUUUUACAUUUACACAAAAAAAGGGUCUUUUAAUUUACAUUGGUACAAUUUGCAGACACUUUUAGCCAAAGAAUAUAACAAAGCAUUCAGAAAUUCAGGCUAAAGUCUCAUAAUCUAAUUAUGGGAAAACAACUGAUUUCAAUCUUUGACGUGACAUUAUGCAAUAUUAUAGGGAUGUGACGUGAUCUCGUGGCACGAGAUCUUGUGAGAUCCGACGUGUCUCGCUGUAUCUCGCAAGAACGUGCCUAUUUCCUUGCAAAACAAUUUGCAGUGUUUACAUUAGAGCUGCUAGAGUAAUCAUUUAAAUAUACGUAAUUAAUCCAUUCAAACACCCAUGCAAUCUUAUUCCUGAAUGUCAACGAUUCACAUUGCGCUGCUCAUGCUCCACUGAUGGUUAUGAUGUGAAACAGGUGUUAAAGUAAUUAAAAUCUGCAUACAUGCUGCUGUUGAUCCAGAAAGAGCAACACAAACAGUUUUUUCAACCACAUAAUGAUCAUUGCUUCUGUGUUACAUACAUUUAAAAACAGAAAUACUAGGAUAAAAGUUUAUAGUUUGGGUAUAAACACUAAUUUUUAUCGCUAAUGUAGACAAUAAAAGAAUCACUUGUAUUGUAACA